rnacentral:rRNA from 1 species
AGAAGUGCGAAUGCUGACAUAAGUAACGAUAAAGCGGGUGAAAAGCCCGCUCGCCGGAAGACCAAGGGUUCCUGUCCAACGUUAAUCGGGGCAGGGUGAGUCGACCCCUAAGGCGAGGCCGAAAGGCGUAGUCGAUGGGAAACGGGUUAAUAUUCCCGUACUUGGUGUUACUGCGAAGGGGGGACGGAGAAGGCUAUGUUGGCCGGGCGACGGUUGUCCCGGUUUAAGCGUGUAGGUGUGUGUUCCAGGUAAAUCCGGUUCACUUUAACACUGAGGCGUGACGACGAGGCACUACGGUGCUGAAGCAACAAAUGCCCUGCUUCCAGGAAAAGCCUCUAAGCAUCAGGUAACAUCAAAUCGUACCCCAAACCGACACAGGUGGUCAGGUAGAGAAUACCAAGGCGCUUGAGAGAACUCGGGUGAAGGAACUAGGCAAAAUGGUGCCGUAACUUCGGGAGAAGGCACGCUGACAC